rnacentral:rRNA from 1 species
GACGAACGCUGGCGGCGUGCUUAACACAUGCAAGUCGAACGGAAAGGCCCUGCUUUUGUGGGGUGCUCGAGUGGCGCACGGGUGCGUAACACGUGAGUAACCUGCCCUUGACUUUGGGAUAACUUCAGGAAACUGGGGCUAAUACCGGAUAGGAGCUCCUGCUGCAUGGUGCGUGUUGGAAUGUUUCGGCGGUUGGGGAUGGACUCGCGGCUUAUCAGCUUGUUGGUGGGGUAGUGGCUUACCAAGGCUUUGACGGGUAGCCGGCCUGAGAGGGUGACCGGACACAUUGGGGCUGAGAGACGGCCGAGACUCCUACGAGAGGCAGCAGUGGGGAAUAUUGCACAAUGGGCGGAAGCCUGAUGCAGCAACGCCGCGUGCGGGAUGAAGGCCUUCGGGUUGUAAACCGCUAUCGCCUGUGACGAAGCGUGAGUGACGGUAAUGGGUAAAGAAGCACCGGCUAACUACGUG